rnacentral:rRNA from 1 species
UACGGGGGGGGCAAGCGUUGUUCGGAAUUACUGGGCGUAAAGGGCUCGUAGGUGGCCAACUAAGUCAGACGUGAAAUCCCUCAGCUUAACUGGGGAACUGCGUCUGAUACUGGAUGGCUUGAGAUUGGGAGAGGGAUGCGGAAUUCCAGGUGUAGCGGUGAAAUGCGUAGAUAUCAGGAGGAACACCGGUGGCGAAGGCGGGUCUCUGGGCCGAUACUGACGCUGAGGAGCGAAAGCGUGGGGAGCGAACAGG